GACGAACGCUGGCGGCGUGCUUAACACAUGCAAGUCGAACGGUGAAGCGCCUUCCUUUUUGGUGGGUGUGGAUGAGUGGCGAACGGGUGAGUAACACGUGAGUAACCUGCCCCCUUCUUCUGGAUAACCGCAUGAAAGUGUGGCUAAUACGGGAUAUUCUGGGUCUGUCGCAUGAUGGGUCUGGGAAAGAUAUUGUUUCGGUGGGGGAUGGGCUCGCGGCCUAGCAGGUUGUUGGUGGGGUGAUGGCCUACCAAGGCGGUGACGGGUAGCCGGCCUGAGAGGGUCGACGGUCACACUGGGACUGAGACGCGGCGACGACUCCGACGGGAGGCAGCAGUGGGGAAUAUUGCACAAUGGGCGGAAGCCUGAUGCAGCGACGCCGCGGGAGGGAUGGAGGCCUGCGGGUUGUGAACCUCUUUCGCCAGUGAAGCAGGCCUGCCUCGUUUGUGGGUGGGUUGACGGUAGCUGGAGAAGAAGCGCCGGCUAACUACGUG
rnacentral:rRNA from 1 species